rnacentral:rRNA from 1 species
ACCUCAGUAACGGCGAGUGAAGCGGUAACAGCUCAAAUUUGAAAUCUGGUCCUUUCAGGGCCCGAGUUGUAAUUUGUAGAAGAUGCUUUGGGUGUGGCCCCGGUCUAAGUUCCUUGGAACAGGACGUCAUAGAGGGUGAGAAUCCCGUAUGUGACUGGGUGCUUUCGCCCGUGUAAAGCUCUUUCGACGAGUCGAGUUGUUUGGGAAUGCAGCUCUAAAUGGGUGGUAUAUUUCAUCUAAAGCUAAAUAUUGGCCAGAGACCGAUAGCGCACAAGUAGAGUGAUCGAAAGAUGAAAAGCACUUUGGAAAGAGAGUUAAACAGUACGUGAAAUUGUUGAAAGGGAAGCGCUUGCAACCAGACUCGCAUGCCGUCGAUCAUCCUGGGUUCUCCCUGGUGCACUCGGCGGCGUUCGGGCCAGCAUCGGUUUUGGUGGCGGGAUAAAGGCCUUGGGAAUGUAGCUCCUCUCGGGGAGUGUUAUAGCCCUCGGUGCAAUGCCGCCUACCGGGACCGAGGACCGCGCUUCGGCU